GGGGAUAUAGCUCAGUUGGUAGAGUGCCUGCCCCGCAUGCACAAGGCCCUGGGUUCAAUCCCCAGCACCA
rnacentral:tRNA from 1 species